rnacentral:rRNA from 1 species
AUCAACUUUCGAUGGUAGGAUAGAGGCCUACCAUGGUGGUAACGGGUAACGGGGUGUUAGGGCACGACACCGGAGAGGGAGCCUGAGAAACGGCUACCACAUCCAAGGAUGGCAGCAGGCGCGCAAAUUACCCAAUCCCGACACGGGGAGGUAGUGACAAUAAAUAACAAUACGGGGUUCUUUCGGAUUUCGUAAUUGGAAUGAGUACAAUUUAAAUCUCUUAACGAGGAACAAUUGGAGGGCAAGUCUGGUGCCAGCAGCCGCGGUAAUUCCAGCUCCAAUAGCGUAUAUUAAAGUUGUUGCAGUUAAAAAGCUCGUAGUUGAAUUUCGGGGUCAGUAGAUUGGUCAUGCCUCCGGUAUGUACUGGUCUUACUGGCUCCUCCUUCCUGAUGAACCGUAAUGCCAUUAAUUUGGUGUUGCGGGGAGACUGGACUGUUACUUUGAAAAAAUUAGAGUGUUUAAAGCAGGCUAACGCUUGAAUACAUUAGCAUGGAAUAAUGAAAUAGGACGUUCGAUCUUAUUUUGUUGGUUUCUAAGAUUGACGUAAUGAUUAAUAGGGAUAGUUGGGGGCAUUAGUAUUCAAUUGUCAGAGGUGAAAUUCUUGGAUUUAUUGAAGACUAACUACUGCGAAAGCAUUUGCCAAGGAUGUUUUCAUUAAUCAAGAACGAAAGUUAGGGGAUCGAAGACGAUCAGAUACCGUCGUAGUCUUAACCAUAAACUAUGCCGACUAGGGAUCGGAUGAUGUUAAUUUUUUAAUGACUCAUUCGGCGCCUUACGGGAAACCAAAGUGUUUGGGUUC